ACAGCAGUCGCCGCGGGAAUACGUAGGGUGCGAGCGUUAAUCGGAAUUACUGGGCGUAAAGCGUGCGCAGGCGGUUUUGUAAGACAGGCGUGAAAUCCCCGGGCUCAACCUGGGAAUGGCGCUUGUGACUGCAAAGCUAGAGUGCGGCAGAGGGGGAUGGAAUUCCGCGUGUAGCAGUGAAAUGCGUAGAUAUGCGGAGGAACACCGAUGGCGAAGGCAAUCCCCUGGGCCUGCACUGACGCUCAUGCACGAAAGCGUGGGGAGCAAACAGGAUUAGAUACCCGUGUAGUCCCUGUCUCUUAUAC
rnacentral:rRNA from 1 species